UCCAAAUCAUUAGUAUCGACUCUCAGGUUUGCUCUCAAGUUCAUGAGUACUUCAUUUGAAUAUUGCCCUGUUUGAUAGUUUGCUUGUUUCUUGAAUUCUUGGUUUUCUGGUGAUUUCGGUUGUAGUGCAGAAUUAGUAGCUUGGGGACAAGUAUGAGAGCCUUUGUAUGUGAUCUCAAAUACAGUAGGAUCAUCAUCUGACCUUUGCACUUGUUUCGUCGUCCAACAAUUUUGCAUGUGACGAUAUGUGCAUCUGUAGUAACUUCUGCAAAACAUAUGUAAACCUGGUAUCAGGAACAUAGUACUCUGUUUCCGAGAAUUCCUACAAAAAUAUACUGUUGAUUUCUUAAUUAUAUACUCAGAGGAGGAUCCGAGAUUUAAACUCCAUGAAUUCAGCCUUUAAGGUUCUUACCAUCAAACCCAUUAUAUUUUUAAAAUUUGGGUUCAUAUUAAUAAUUUGUCGCAAUCUUAGUGCAUUUUUACACAUAAAUUUAUGCUUCGUGUCGAAAGUUAUGAUUCAGUUGAACCAGGUGUCAGAAGGUCAGAGCUAAUAAAGCAUGACCAAAAGAGGAUAAGAACUUUUGAUAUUUUUAAGUUGAAAGGUAGACAUAAGCUGCUUAUAUUUGGUGCAUUUUAUAUUUUGAACUUGAGAAGAAAUUGACUUAUUACCUAGGAUAUUUAGCUCCAAGGAUGUCUUUCUGACCAUACUUUCUCCAGCUAUAUCCAUCAUCAGUAGGACCUUCAAAUCCAGUCUCUGCGCUGACUUUGACUUGUUGUUGUAGUCCAUGUGGGCUGUGAUUUUCUGCAACAUACAUCAAGAACCAGUUUAAGUUGACCUAUUCGCCGUUUCAUUUUAUAUGACAGUGUUUGACUGGACACGAAUUCUAAAAAAUAAAAAAACUUUUGAGCACAUAUCAAAAGUACCCUUAAAACUUGUAAAUUUAAACAUGUCCUGACAUUUCUAAGGGCGGAGCUAGCUUGCGGGUUCGGCCGAACUCAUUAGCUUUGGUUCAAACCAUGUAUUUAUUUUAAGAAAUCCAUUAAAUAUAUAUAAAUUAUUAAUUUAGAACUCAGUAGCUUAAAAGGACUAGAAUGUCAAACCCACCCUGGUCUGCUGAUGGUCGCACUUCUAUGACUAUAAGAGCAUGUUCUUAAGAGAAAAAGUAAUGUGUAAAGUUCAAGAGCUCUUAAAUAUAGAAAAAUGUCGUUUUUCUUGAACGGAGUUUGAUGUACCUCUUUUUUGAAAUAUUUAUGACCUCUUGAUGAUCUUUGAAACUCCUUUUCUUGUCCUCGCUCUUAGGACUUCCAUCAACUGAAACCGAAGAUUCAAUCGUGCCACAUGUUGGUGUCACAGGCUGCGGAGAUUGAACGGCCGAUCCACUACAUUUGAGAAUUAACAGAGAUUGCUCACAAGAAGAAUCUUCUGCAGAAGCAAUUCUUGAUUUUCAGAAAUGGAAGCCAUUGACCUCAAGUAAGCUCUAAGUUGCUUUGUGUGUUCAAUACCUUGAGUUAGCUCAUUGAUAAGUGUAUUAUAUUCCCAAUUGAAAGCACAAUCCAUUUUAAAAGAAGGAAUUCGUAAAGAAAAAGGGGAGCUAUUAUGUAGCCUUGAAAAGUGGAUGCGGCCCCUAUGUUUCGUGACAACAGCUUAGCUUAGUAGCUUCACUCUUUCUGCUGAUGUAGCAUGUUGAGUUUCUUAAUAAGUGGACUCAAACUUGAACUAUAUAGGGUUACAAGGAACUUAGACACGAUGUGAACCUACUUAUGAGUGGAAUGUCAGUGACAAUCAAAUUACGGUGACAAGCAAAUUACUCGGGGAAAACACGAUGUGAACCUAUUUAUGAGUGGAAUGUCGAUGACAAGCAAAUUACUCGGGGGAAACGAUCACAAUCUUGGAAUGUGGAAAAAAAAAUUAUCUUUUUUGUGGGAUUUAGAAACUUAUUUAUGAAAUUUGAUGGAGAAGUUGGGUGCAUGAGAUGGUGGAUUUUGUGGGAGAUGAGUAAUGAAAACAAGAAGAUAGAAACAUUUGAAUUUAAAAGGGAAGGAUUUAUAGUGUAAAUAAUGAGAAGUGAAAAACAAAGGGAUGUGGAAAAAAGGGAGAGUUGACUGCUUAAAACGAGUUAUUCUACGUGGAAUGGUCAUUGGUCAAAUAAAAAAGUCCAAAUGUUGAGUGCUGACCAAUUCAAACCAACAGUACUUAUUACUAAGGCUGUAAAGUGGCCCGGUUUUGUGCCUAUUUGUGCCUGACGGGCCGGGUCUCACGGUCCCGGUUCUGGCGUGUCGGGUUUGGCGGUUCUGGCGGUUCCGGGUCUGGCGGUUCUCCAGGUUGGGACCGGCCCGUGACGAGUCUAAGCACCAUGCGGUCCUGGGUCUGGCGGUUCAGGGUCUGGCGGGUCUGACGGUUUUUUUAUUUUUUAAGUCAAUAUCUUGUAUAGUAGUCAUUAGUAUAGUGUAGAAUAUAUUU
rnacentral:lncRNA from 1 species